CCUCUUCAUGUCUUCUUCUUCCUACCACCAAAGUACAUUGAUGACGUGCAGAUGGAAUAUAGAUAAAUUAGCUAAAUAUUUUAUUCGUGAAAUGCUUACAAUGGUAGACUCAACUGAUACAUUGGAAGUAAACUUACUUAAAUUUUGGAGAAAUAAUGAACGUCAAUAUCCAAUUGUUUUCAUCAUUGACCGUGAUGUACUAACACAUUUUUGUCCACAACAACGAGAAAAGAUAACAAAUGGCUUUUGGCCAAGUGAUGGUUUCGAAGAUAGGUUUGGAGUCUGUGAGAAUGAUGAAAAAAUAUAUAUAUUUUUUUUUAUAUUUAUUACGGGGUCAUACCAUAUUCAACAAUAUUAUUUUCCUUAUCACUCAUGUUGUAAUUAUUUCUAUGAUUUCCAUUCCUAAAUUAGCCUCGGUUUCUCUUUCCCAUGUACUAUAUAAGUCUUGUGAACAUUCAUUCAAAGUUAAUGAAAAUUAUUUCAUUCACAUAUCAAUUGUAACAUGGUAUCAGAACUUUAGGCAUACCUAUACGGCUGCACUAUGGAUGAUUCAGCUGCUGCUCAUGUGCCGAAUAUCACUAAGUCGCUUAGAGAUGCGUCAUCCCCUUACUUUCUACACUCAUUUGAUCAACCCAACCAAGUAAUUGUUGAUGCAGUUCUCAACGGGGACAAUUACCCUGCUUGGCGAAGAUCCAUAACCCGUGCCUUUGAAUGCCAAAAACAAAAUUGGUUUUGUUCUCGGCACCAUUAAACGUCCAACCACCGAUACAACCGCUACACUACUCUGGGAUCGAUGUUGCGACAUGAUAAUGUCAUGGCUUCUUCAUUCUAUUGAUAGAUCUCUCGCCGGAAGUCUCAUCUAUUGUGCAACACCUAACGACCUAUGGAUUGAACUGGAAACUCGUUUUCGGCAAAGUAAUCGAACAAAUUUUUUUCGUUUGAAACGUGAACUUGCAAACCUCAACCAAGAGCAACAGUCCAUCACAGCCUACUAUGGAAAAUUAAAGGAACUUUGGGAUGAAUUAGCUUCACUCCAGCCCAUAAAUCCAUGUACUUGCGGUGCAACCAAAACACUUUCUAAAAUUCAAGAUUCGGACAGAGUGUACCAAUUUCUCAUGGGGUUGAACAAUAGUUACCAGCAACUCCGAUCUCAAGUUUUGGCCAUGGAUCUCCUCCAUUCAAUUGGGCGUUGCUAUGCCAUUCUCCACCAAGAACAAGCCCAACACCUGGCCAAAUCUCCACUUCCCGACCUGAAAUUUCAACUAUAAAUAUCGGGACUUCGAUGUCGCAGAAAACUUCAUACCGUCCACAGCGUGUCUGGUCAAGUGGAAUACCCGUCUGUGAAGCUUGUGGCCAGCGGGGACAUCAACGUGAAAAUUGUUUUGAGGUCAUUGGUUACCCGGAAUGGUGGCCAUCAAGAGGAAAACGUGGCGGACAGCGUAAUCCAUCACCGACCGUACACCAAAUUUCAGUCGGUUCUGAACCUCCCACUAUCGUGCCUCCCACCGCGAGCAAUACCUUGGCUCGCCUCUCAACCGAGCAAUAUGCCCAGUUAAUGGAACUGUUAAAACCCCCAAAUCUCUCGUGCACAGGUUCUACUUCUAUUCCCUCUCUUGAUAAGUCUUGGGUAAUUGACAGUGGUGCUACACACCAUAUCACCACCUCACUUUCAUGCAAUUUUGAAAAUGCCACUUGCUCUCGUUAUGUUUGUCUUCC
rnacentral:lncRNA from 1 species